GAACUUUUGUCGGUGGGACGCUGCUCUACUCCGCCUGUGUGGGACCCAUUUCUACAGGGUCGACAUUUUCUCACGUGUCAAGCCAAGGAUGGGAAAGAGCUGCUGGGUUUUCACAGUCCUCACAUCGAUCAAGUUCAUCACAUUAGGAGAACAUUCUACCCAAAGAGCCUCAUUAUCGUAUUCCAAUGGAGUGCACUGGCAUUUGACAUGCAGACACCAAAGACUCUGGCAGCAUAGCAGAUCAACAGCCUCUCACAGCAGUAUUCCCUCUGACUGUUUCAUUUUUGUCUCUUUCUUUCUGUCCUGUCUCGUCUCCCUCAUAGAUGUCAAACAGGUGAUGGACCUGAGGGAGCGGUUUGGGCUGUCACUUACUUAAGCAUUCAUUUGAUUUGAAUCAAAUUACUGUGUGUCAGGGGUGAGGGGGCUGUGUAUCUCUAUGUGGCAGUGGAGAUGACAGUGAUGCCUGCAGGAUAUGCAUGCAGCUGCUAAAAGGAGACUGUUUUGAAGUUUUUUUCUGUUUGUUUGGGUACUCAAGUAUCAGCACCUCAUGAUUUAUAAUGAUCCAAUUUUCACAUGUUUACUAAAUGAUACUGUAUGUAUCGUGCAUAUCCUACAGUGUCUGAGAGGCAAACAAAAUGUUUCUUAUCAAAAUGAAGGUGAGGUGAUUAUUUUCGGAAGAGUAUCAUUAUAAUAUUGUGAAUACCUUGGUCGAGUAUCCCUCUGCUAGCAGAGCAAAAGCAAAUACCAAUAUUCUCUCUCUCUUUGGGUUUUGUGCUGCCUCUGCCAUGACAUCUACUCAAUGAAUAGUUUCUGCUUUUCUCUAAGGUUUGCUUCCUCAUUUGAGCAGGGGGCUGUGACGUAUGCCGCAAAGUAGAAUGUUGAAGCUCUUUUUGUGGCAGGGAUGCAAAACCAGAAGUUUGCAGGUGAUACAUUCAGUUUAAUUUCUGUAAAAUGGAAAUACUGCCUAUAACAAGGCAGUUGUUCUUAUGCCCAUAAGUGAUUUGAGCUCACGCCUUGUGUCUUGAGAGUCUCAAGAUAACUUCCUCCAAAUUUAAAGACAAGACCAUUUUAUUAGGUGUCUUCAGCUAGUAAACAAACUUACUUAUAUCAUAAUCUUAAAGAUAAUGAGACCUUUGUGUCUAGUUUAAAUAGGGUCUUUAGUUCCGCCUAUUCUUAGUUAAUAUUGGAGUUGUUGUACUUUAUUUAAACUUGAGACUUCUGUGAUCCCUUCCUCCAUUUUUUUACCAGCUGUUACAGCAGGGUGUUUUUUGUCUCUAACAGUGGCAGUUUUGAGGAUAGUUUGUUGUCUGAUGUCGGUGUGGACUGAUUUCCUUUCACCACAGUGGUAACACAACUCUGCAAGGUAGAGUCAUGAAACUACAGGUGUGAAGUUGACUCCACUUGCAUCACUCUAUGACACUUGCUGUCAGAAUUGAUGUGGUAGCUAUUUAUUUUAUGUUGCGGCACAAUGUGGGCCUCUUCCUCUGUUUCCGCUGGGUCAUAUCUGUCAGCUGUUCCACCCCGAGCACUGCACUUUACAUUCAACAAAGUAUCAGAAAGGAAGGGGGCAGUCUGAGGCAUCAAAUCAUUCAUGGCCAAGUAAAAUGCUCACACGUCCUGUGUCUAGGAAGCGUCUUAUUUGCAAAGGUAUCUUCACUCUAGUGGUUGAUCGAUUCAUCGCUUUAACAGGUAAUGGGCUAUAAAGGGACAUUUUAAAACCUAUUGGCAUUAGUGAACCCUGACUCUGAUAGUGCCCAGUGCAGUGGCUGUGCUGUCCACCCUCCCCAUGUUGAUUUUUUUUUACUGUACUUAAAUGCUACCCAUUUAAUUGUUCAAAUUAAAUACAUUGUGUCUAUCUACACAUGUCUAGAGUAAGGACAGAAUUAGAAAAU